GUACAACUCUGAGCGGUGGAUCACUCGGCUCGUGUGUCGAUGAAGAGCGCAGCCAACUGUGUGAAUUAAUGUGAACUGCAUACUGCUUUGAACAUCGACAUCUUGAACGCAUAUUGCGGCCAUGGGUUAGCCUGUGGCCACGCCUGUCCGAGGGUCGGCUU
rnacentral:rRNA from 1 species